GCUGCUUCUUGGCUGAAAUGUGGGCUGAAACGAGCGGGCCUCAGAGGACUUGCUGGAAUUGGGCCUAAAAAAUUGGACUUGCGAAGUGGGCUACUGGACUCUUGAAGACUUCGCUGGGCUGAGGACAGUUGCUAGGCUUGAGGUGGGCGUGGAUUUACGGGCUUCAAUUGGUGUGCUUCGGUGGGCUGGACUGUCGCAACGAGAGAAGACGCGGACGAAGAAGCAGCUUCGUCUGAGCUGCGAGGUCAACUUCGGCGGAGAUGCUGACCAGGUGGGGACGUGGACUGGCGAUGCAGGCGUGAGGCUUCGGUGGAGCUUGAUUCGUGGCAGAGGAGUAACGGGCGAUCAACCAAGGCUUCAACGAAGAGGAGUGUUGACCGAAGGAGGGCAGACCGUGGACGUGUGACAGCUUCUUCAGUGGGGGCUGGGCUGUCUUUGGUGAGGAUGAAGACAACGCUGCUUGAGGACUUCUCUCGGUUGGAACUCUGCAGGGCUUUGCUUCGGGGUAGCUGGAGGAGACGUGGGCUUCGCUGGGUGACGUCACAAAUGAAGAAAAGAAGACGUGGGGUCUUCGGUGGCAGCUUGAGGAACAAACGGGCAGAAGUUGGGGGCGGUGGAAGUCGUGAGAGACGCUGGCAAAGAGAGGGAAUUGUUGGCUACACGUGGGGGCUUUGAUCAACAAAAGAGGAGAGGAAGGCUUCUUGUUGACCAAAGGGACAAAACAUGGUGGGGAUGGGCGUGAAUUGCAAAGGGAAAAAAAUGAAAGAGCAGC
rnacentral:lncRNA from 1 species